UUGGAUCCCAGCUGAAUAGCUUGGAGAUAUGUUUUUUUGAGUCAGAGGCCAUCAGCCCUCUGGAAGCAAAGGAACUGUUUAUGCUUAAGUUAAAAACUACCUCAAACCUGAAGAUAGCAGUUUAUUUCUUCUCAGCAGUUACUUGCACAAGAGCAAAAGCAAAACUGGAUUUAUAAAGAGUUGGCAAGGGAGAAGAAAGAGAAAAGGAAAAUGAAAUAGAUGGAAAAGCUGAACUUGGAAGAAAGGAGAAAGAAAAUGGAAGACAAAUGGAAAUGUGAAAAUUUGAAACCCAUAAAGAAAAAUUGGACAAUGGAUUUGGCUAAAGAAAAGUAUAUAAGAAAGGGGAGAUAGUAAUUUGAUUUAACUAAAAGUCUUCAUUUAAUGCAUCAAUUUACAGAGGAUGGACUUGAAUGAUAACUGAAUGUUGAAAUGGCUGAACUUUAGCAUUACAUAGCGUUCUGAUAGUUAUAGCUAUGAACGUGUACACCAGUCGGCAGAUUAUGAAGCUGUGAAAGGGCAAUGCUCAUAAGCUUGUCCCUGAAUUAAAAUUUAGGACUGUAAAAUGAAACAUAAUCAGACAUCUGUUGAAUUUGUGAAAGAAAAUUAAAUGAUGUGUGAUGAGUGGCUUCAAUCACUGAAGUUAGAACAAAAAGAGAAUGAAGAGAAGUAAUGAUUAUGAAAGAUUUCCAAAAGUAUUUCAUUAAGGCCCUGGCCAAGAAUCCCCACUUUGUUACAUUUCUAAUUGGGAUGCCACAAAGUGUUAGACUCCUGGGAGGGAUGUACUGGUUCCCAUUCUUUAUUCCAUCCUCAUUUGGUUGCAAAGGAUAACUUAAAAAGGAUCCCUUUCUUUGUGGAUACCUUCUCCCCUGACCCAAAUGAACAAGUGUUUUAAAAGGACACAAUUUAACCAGCUUUCCUGAAUUAACAAAGCAUGAAGUUUAUUAAUUAUUAAAUGAAAAAAGAAUUAAUAACACAACACACAUACAGACAGCUUAGAAAUAAGAUGGGAGUCCAAAAG